rnacentral:ncRNA from 2 species
UUAGAAACUUUAGCGCCAUGCACCAGUGGGGUACGGAUACAUACACUGGUUGACGAGGAUUCAGGUUAUCGAAGGUUCGGCGGAUGCCUGAACGUGACAGGCGGUCACGUAUGCAGCAGUCAAAAAGAAAAGGUGACUUUUUAACAAAGCUUCUGCAAACCGCCUGA